GCCAUGGUGGUGUAGUGGGUAUCACAUCUGCCUAGUAAGCAGGAGACACAGGUUCUAGUCCUGGCCAUGGCA